CUAGGCUUCACUCUGCAAGGUGUUUAAAAAGAAAAACAGGUUUACCCAGGAUUUAUCAUGUAUGGAAAAAUGUAAUAUCUAAGUAGGCUGUCUGCUAAUGUCUGGCAUAAUGUUUCUUCAUAAUGGUUAACCCUUUUGCAGGGAGUGGAAUAAGAGUGCCUCUCUCUCUAGAUGGGAACUUUGCUUCAUGGGACAUUACAACUGUAUGCCUUAAGGCAGAAAAACGCAUAAAGGUAGCUGGGAAAGUAAAUUGCCAGAAGCGAAGAGCACCCUCCCUUUCAAAAUCCUAAUAUAAAAUCCCCCGGGGAAAAGAAUCCUAGAGAUUUGCGGUGAGGAGUAAAGCCGAUGCAACGUGAGCAGGGAACUGUAGACCUCCACCACGCCGAAGCAGCCCAGAAUAAAAGUUUCGCGUACUGCACAUUUGGGGUCUUUCUAGCUAUUCCGCCAGUAGCCUCCUCUAUUCUUUCGGGAGCCCAGCACAUCAGCCUCGCAGAUUCCUCGCACACAAUCAAUACAUUUUGCAUAACACGAGUCUCUCCCGCACGCUCUCGCUUCUCUUGCUCGCUCUCUAUUUUUGUUUGCCUCUCGUAGGUGGACAGGGUUUCUACACGGGGCUUUUCUUUUCAGAAAUUAGCGCCGACGAUACAGAGUCUCAAAAGCAAGCCGUGCGCGGUAGCUGGUUCUAGUCACUGCUUCCUCGGGUCAGAAAUUGCGCUGGAGCCCACCACAGCAACCUUGCAAGCAUGCGGUUCGGUUUCAGACAGACACAGCUUGCCUCUCUCCAGUCCCUCGUCUUUAACACUCCCCCCCCUUCCUCUUACAGCAGUGCUUUAAUAAAGUCACAUAAGUGAUUGAAAUUAACAUAAAUCAUUAUUAGUUAUUAGGAUUUGCUCUAAAUUACUCUGUGAAUAUAACACCAAACCCCAUCUGCCACUCCUGCUCUAGCAGCAAUAGAUUGCAGAUAAAAUAAAUGUCCUUACCCCAUUAGAAUGUUCCUGUCUCUGUAGCCAAAAGCCAAACAAAAGCAAUAAAUACAGAGCUUUUUUCUCUCCACUAUUCAGCUGUGACUGUUUUCAUCAGCUCUUCCUCUAGAAAAGCUCGAUAGCUGCCUGAAAAUAUUGCAUUUUAUAUCACCAAAGGGCGAUUAAUAUUGCAUUAACUGUAUUUAACAUUUUUUAAGCGCGAGUAAUCUGAAAUGAGUAAGUUUCUGUUACUAAAUACAGGGGAUGUCAGAGCUGGUGAAAACAGCUUAAAAUAUCUGUAUAAACAGAUUAUUUGUUUCAUACUUUGUAUUUUUAUAAUGUUAUGGUAUAGUGUGCUCUGUUUGAAGUAGAAGAAGCCAUGCUAAUGGUCUGUUUAAAGUAUUCUGACACUGUCUGGAGACAUCCAAGUCUCUGCCUUCAUUAAAUGUUUAUUGUCAACACUUCAGUGAAAAAAAGUCUUGUGUAAGUGAAUUUCCACUGCUGGAUGCUGUCAACACUUUGUUUUAUUCUGAUCCGCGUGUACAAAAGUUUGUAUACAUUAUGCUGAAGUGAAGA